GAUGAACGCUGGCGGCGUGCCUAACACAUGCAAGUCGAGCGAACAGAUGAGGAGCUUUCUCGCCUGACGUUAGCGGCGGACGGAUGAGUAACACGUGGAUAACCUACCUAUAAGACUGGGAUGAUUUCGGGAAACCGGAUCUAAUACCGGAUAAUAUAUCGAACCGGAUUGUGCAAUAGUUAAAGUCGGUUUUGCUGACACUAAUAGCUGGAUCCGCGCCGCAUUAGCUAGUUGGUAAGGUAACGGCUUAACAAGGCGACGAUGCGUAGCCGACCUGAGAGGGUGAUCGGCCACACUGGAACUGAGACACGGUCCAGACUCCUACGGGAGGCAGCAGUAGGGAAUCUUACGCAAUGGGCGAAAGCCUGAUAGAGCAACACCGCGUGAGUGAUGAAGGUCUUCGGAUCGUAAAGCUCUGUUGUUAGGAAAGAACAAAAGCGUAUGUAACCAUGCACGUAUUGACGGUACCGAAAGAAUAAGCCACGGCUAACUCCGUG
rnacentral:rRNA from 1 species